AUGGAGGGAAGGAGCUGGGGGAGAAGAGAGAGAGGGAGAAAGAGGAAAGGAGAGAAAAGAGAGGAAAGGAGGGAGAGAAGAAAAAGGGAGGGAGAAAGGAAAGGAGAGAGAAAAGAGAGGGAGGGAGAAGGAAAAGGAGAGAGAAAAGAGAGGGAGAGAGAAGAAAGAGAGGGAGAAAGAGGAAAGGAGAGAAAAGAAAGAGAGGAAAGGAGGGAGAGAGAAAAGAAAAAGGGAGGGAGAAAGGAAAGGAGAGAGAAAAGAGACGGAGAGAGGGAGGGAAUGAGAGUCUGUCCCAAGGUCACCCAGUACAAAGCACAAGCUGACUCAGUCUUCUUCCGGGGAGCCCCAGGUUCUCUUUCCCAGUGUCUGGGAUGUGCUCAUACUGCUCUGCUGGGGCUCAUCAGAGGCACCUUCUGGAGUUCUGAACGUCCCAGGUGGCAAACCAAUGCUCAGAAGAUUGUUUCAUUGGAAGAGAGACAGACAGACACAGGAGAGGAGAAACCAGUAAGGGGCCAGACAAGAGGUGUUUCAGACUAACCAGGUACAAGGAUGAAUCUGUGCUCUUCGGGGGGGGGUUCUCCAGCAAUGCAGACGACCAUUUUUCUACAUAUCCUCAGAAGUUCUGGCCCCUCAUCCAUGUCCUUCCAUCUGCCCCAAAGGGGUCCAUUUUCCUUUUAAUCAGUUUCUCCUACUUACUUGCCCCGAGUUAAAUACAUUCUGGGAGCUUUUGAGUUCACACCUUGAAUCUUGGCUAAGAAUUGCACCCCCCCCCCAUAUUGUUCCUUGGCCAAGAUUCUGGUUUAAAUCUAAUCUCUCCUUCUAAAUCCUGCUCAUUUAUCUCUUAAUCUUUUUAGUCUUUCUUUACUGGACUGAAACUGGCCUCCAUCUUCUUUCAGAGGCACUGGCCUGGCUCACUGCUCCUGGACCUCUUAUCCCUGUCCUGUCAGAGAACAAAGUGCAAACAAGGAGUUCCAUGAGCCUCACUUGUGUGGUUCUCAGUCCAAGUGUCUUUCCCUCAGUGGGGAUGCUUUGAUCAAAGUCCCCUUUUAGGAUGGGCUGAUCUGAGGACUUUCUAGCAGUUCCGGAACAUCAAAGAAGGAAUAAGGGAGGCUGGAUUUGGUCUUACCUGGGGCUUUGGAGAUGAUUUAUUUCACAGAAUUUCAGAGUCUCUGAGACAGAAAGGCCCCUUGAGGCCAUCUAGUACAUCAGAAAAAGCAUUCUCUAGAAAAUCCCUAAUAAGGGGCCAUCCAGAUCUUGUGUUUGAAGAUACUGAGGGAGGGGGGAAUCCACUACAGUGCCGGACUUGGGGAAAUAAAGACCAAAAUGCAACAUAGUCCCUUCCUGCC
rnacentral:lncRNA from 1 species